GGACUUAAGAAAAACAGCCAGGGAGCUCGCUCCUUUUGUGUUUGGCUUCGCUGCUAUUGACCAGUUGUGUGAGAGUAACCGAUGGCGGAGAGGAAGGAGACAGGAACCUGGCCAAGAUCCCGAGCCAAGGCGUCCCAGGCAUGUUCCAUGUUGAGAUGGGUCCUGAGUGCCAAGUGACACGAUGUUUACUGAUAGAAGAAAGCAAAUGAUGUGUAUGAGCCUUCUCCUGAGCACGUGAAGCCCUGAGACACUCAUACUCUCUAAGGACACUGGAUGCUUCCAUACCAUUUGGUAUCUUCAUUGUCAGGACGUUGGGUAACAUUGGGCAACUAGAUAUUGUGAACUCCAGGAGGAGGAAGAGAGAAAACAGAGAGCCUGUUAUUUCAUGGAGCAGGAAAAAAAAAAGCUACACCUUGAAGGU
rnacentral:lncRNA from 1 species